rnacentral:rRNA from 1 species
UACAGAGGUCCCGAGCGUUGUUCGGAUUCACUGGGCGUAAAGGGUGCGUAGGUGGCGAGGUAAGUCGGAUGUGAAAGCUCGGAGCUCAACUCCGAAAUGGCAUUGGAAACUACCUUGCUCGAGGGUUGGAGGGGGGACUGGAAUACUUGGUGUAGCAGUGAAAUGCGUAGAUAUCAAGUGGAACACCAGUGGCGAAGGCGAGUCCCUGGACAACUCCUGACGCUGAGGCACGAAAGCUAGGGGAGCAAACAGG